rnacentral:rRNA from 1 species
AUUGAACGCUGGCGGCAUGCCUUACACAUGCAAGUCGAACGGUAGCGGGCCUUCGGGUGCCGACGAGUGGCGAACGGGUGAGUAAUGUAUCGGAACGUACCUUUCAGUGGGGGAUAACGUAGCGAAAGUUGCGCUAAUACCGCAUAUUCUGUGAGCAGGAAAGCAGGGGAUCGCAAGACCUUGCGCUGAUUGAGCGGCCGAUAUCAGAUUAGCUAGUUGGUGAGGUAAAGGCUCACCAAGGCGACGAUCUGUAGCGGGUCUGAGAGGAUGAUCCGCCACACUUGAACUUAGACACGGUCCAGAAUCCCACGGGAGGCAGCAGUGGGGAAUUUUGGACAAUGGGGGCAACCCUGAUCCAGCCAUGCCGCGUGAGUGAAGAAGGCCUUCGGGUUGUAAAGCUCUUUCGGCCGGGAAGAAAUCGUAUCAGCUAAUACCUGGUGCGGAUGACGGUACCGGCAUAAGAAGCACCGGCUAACUACGUGCCAGCCGCCGCCGUAACAC